GAUGAACGCUGGCGGCGUGCCUAAUACAUGCAAGUCGAACGCAUUGAGAGAAGUGCUUGCACUUUUCAAUUUGAGUGGCGAACGGGUGAGUAACACGUGGGCAACCUACCUGAUAGCGGGGGAUAACGAGUGGAAACAUUCGCUAAUACCGCAUAACAAUAGAGAAGGCAUCUUCUUUAUUUAAAAGGCGCUUUCAAGCGUCACUGUCAGAUCGGCCCGCGGUGCAUUAGUUAGUUGGUGGGGUGAAGACCUACCAAGACGAUGAUGCAUAGCCGAGUUGAGAGACUGAUCGGCCACAUUGGGACUGAGACACGGCCCAAACUCCUACGGGAGGCUGCAGUAGGGAAUCUUCCACAAUGGACGAAAGUCUGAUGGAGCAACGCCGCGUGUGUGAUGAAGGCUUUCGGGUCGUAAAGCACUGUUGUAUGGGAAGAAAUGCUAGGCUAGGAAAUGAGCUUAGUUUGACGGUACCAUACCAGAAAGGGACGGCUAAAUACGUGCCAGCAGCCGCAGUAA
rnacentral:rRNA from 1 species